rnacentral:rRNA from 1 species
GGGCCCGCACAAGCGGUGGAGCAUGUGGUUUAAUUCGAUGAUACGCGAGGAACCUUACCAGGACUUAAAUGUAAGUUGCAUGAUUCAGAAAUGAAUCUUUCUUCGGACUACUUACAAGGUGCUGCAUGGUUGUCGUCAGCUCGUGCCGUGAGGUGUCAGGUUAAGUCCUAUAACGAGCGCAACCCCUAUCGUUAGUUGCCAUCAAGUAAAGUUGGGAACUCUAGCGAAACUGCCGGUGCAAACCGAGAGGAAGGUGGGGAUGACGUCAAAUCAUCACGGCCCUUACGUUCUGGGCUACACACGUGCUACAAUGGUCGGUACAGAAAGCAGCCACUAUGCGAAUAGGAGCUAAUCUUUAAAACCGAUCUCAGUUCGGAUCGCAGUCUGCAACUCGACUGCGUGAAGCUGGAAUCGCUAGUAA